UGAUGACGUUGAGAGGUGAGGGGGGAGACGUGGGGGGCGGGUGUGAAUAGGAAUGACUGGGCGUGAAGGGGUCGAAGGCGGGUUUGUAAGAAAGGCGGGGAAUACCCGGGCGUAACCUGGGAACUGCGGUUGUGAAUGGAAGACUAGAGGACGGCAGAGGGGGGGGGAAUUCCACGUGUAGCAGUGAAAUGCGUAGAGAUGUGGAGGAAAACCAAUGGCGAAGGCAGCCCCCUGGGUCGAUACUGACGCUCAUGCACGAAAGCGUGGGUAGCAAACAGGAUUAGAUACCCCGGGUAGUC
rnacentral:rRNA from 1 species